GUUCUGCUAGCUCAGCUGGUUUAGAGCGCCGCCUUGACAGGGCGGAGGUCACUGGUUCGAACCCAGUGCAGAACA
rnacentral:tRNA from 1 species